CAAAUUGAGAGUUUGAUCCUGGCUCAGGAUGAACGCUGGCGGCGUGCCUAAUACAUGCAAGUCGAACGCUUUGUGGUUCAACUGAUUUGAAGAGCUUGCUCAGAUAUGACGAUGGACAUUGCAAAGAGUGGCGAACGGGUGAGUAACACGUGGGAAACCUACCUCUUAGCAGGGGAUAACAUUUGGAAACAGAUGCUAAUACCGUAUAACAAUGACAACCGCAUGGUUGUUAUUUAAAAGAUGGUUCUGCUAUCACUAAGAGAUGGUCCCGCGGUGCAUUAGUUAGUUGGUGAGGUAAUGGCUCACCAAGACGAUGAUGCAUAGCCGAGUUGAGAGACUGAUCGGCCACAAUGGGACU
rnacentral:rRNA from 1 species